UUCGACUAAGGUUCGAUUCGAGCGUCAGCGAGAAAGCGUUGCCGCAGGCAACGACCCGAAGGGCGAAGCGCGCAGCGCUGAGUCAUCCUUCCCCCAUCACCA
rnacentral:sRNA from 1 species